rnacentral:tRNA from 1 species
ACCCCGAAAAUGAUGGUUCAACUCCAUCCCCUGCUA